rnacentral:lncRNA from 1 species
AUCGAUAUAAGUAUAUAGAUUAUAGAAUACAGGAUCUAUGUACACAUAAGGGGGUGGUAACAAUACAACAACAAAAUAUGUCAGGACACGUCAACAGAGGAGAACCUUUUUUUUCUGUUUGAUGAUCACACAAAAUUCUCUCCCGCUCCUACCUUAGAUUAUUAUUGUGUAUAAGUAUAAUUAUUGUCUUUUUACUCUCCAAGACAACCGCAAAAAAGGCAGUCAAUGGCCUUAAAAUUUCGCACGCAUGUUGGUAAAAGUAUCAACAGCAUAUUAUAUGGAGAUGGAAUACACGACUCUUUGACUCUAAAAAGGGGAUGAAAUAUCUUUAAAAAAGACAUGAUCGGUCCACAGAUGGUUUCGUGGUCUUUUUGUUUUGUUAUUGAGCGUUCACACAUCUGUAAUGCCUAAUUGAUUGGCAAUGACGUUUAUCCUCAGAGUCAUAGUAGAACCUACGACAUUAGAAUGUAUGUGAUAUAAAUAUAUAACAUAAAGCGUUUCUUCUUUUUGAGCACACUCUCUAUGAGCUUAUCCUUGUGCAGUGUAUCAAACUGGAGGUCAAGGUCAUCGAAAGGGAUAAAAAUAACUUCUUUUAGGCAGUGGUUAACUUACGUGCAUUGAGUAAGACAAAACAGAUGGAGAGAGACUCUCUCUUUUUCCUUGAUUGCACUCAGCCCAAUGUUUCCUUCUCUUAAAGGUUACUCCAAGAAACAUUGUAUCUUGUACAUAGGAUUGGAAGAUCAACCAAAAUUAAUUGUAAUAAUAAAUUUUGAUAUAAGAAGAUCAAAGUGUGAUCUGUUAAAUGGUUUCUUAGAUUAAAGACUCAGUUAAAGUGAGUGAGGUUUUAUUGCAUUUUAGUUUUGUAAUGUUCAUUUCCUGAUAUUAAAAAAAGUGGAAAGUGGGUUGUUCUUUCCUUAUCUGUGUCAAUUCUUACAAGGAAAAUGUGCAACCUUGGAACUGAAGAGGGAUCCUCUCAUGUACCUUCAUUCUUUUUUUUUUCUUUUUUAACAACAUUGACUUCCUGACAUCUUUUUUUAGUUAAUUUACUAUAGAUUUCAACGAUAUUUUAGAUGAGCAACUACUCUGAAACUGUUGCAGCUUAUUUAUGUUUUUAUUUCUUUUUCCUGGGACGUAGAGUUCCUACAUAGAUAUGAAAUACUCUUUUUGUGAAAGUUUUUGUCCUCCUACAGCCUUGAUGCCAAAUUAAUAUUCAAAGUGUUCAGAUUUUAAUGGACCACUCGGUAAAUGAUCUUGUAUUUAUUAAUUAUUUUUCAGCAUCAACUCUGCAUGAUGACAUUGCAAAGGAAUGUAGGUAAAAAAAAUUACGUAAACAUUAAUCUUCUUCUCUUAGGGUUUACUUUUACCUAAAAUAUAGUCAAUAUUGUUGGGAAACGGUCCGGGGCCAAUUUAUUUUCUCAGUUUGGAGUUGAGUGAUAUUUCUAUACCGAUUUGGGACGAUAUUUCCGCAGUCUCUGAUCAUGGAUCGAAGUUUAAUUUAUUUCUAUAAGUGGAUCGAUUUUUUCGGUCUCGCCCCAUGGAACGAUUUUCUCAUUAUCAACAGUUAUAAAGAAUUGAUUAAGAACUACCAACUAAUUCCGGGCCUUUUUUCUGUAAUUUUUGAAGGAAGGGGUUCAAAAUACAAUAAAGAUCCUAAGUAUUAAAUGAAGAAUA